AGAUUUUAGGAUUAUCCUCUCUCUCUCUCUCUCUCUCUCUCUCUCGUGUUUUGCCAUGGCAAAUGUGCUGGAGAUUUUCACUGUUCUCAGUUCAUCAGUUUCCACACUUUCAGGGCGCCGUAGACCGCGGCUCGUGUGCGAAGCUGUCCCACAAUUAUCCCCUCACCAAGCUGGUGGUGGUGCAACAAGCCGGAGUUUUGGGAGGCUAAAAGUGCAGAGAGUAAAGAAUCUAGUUAAAGAAAGUUACAGAAAAAAGAAACAAGGCAAUGAUCUUGAAGAUGAGGAACAGAAAGCAGAAACUUCUCCAUCCCAUGUGGAGGUUGUAUCCUAUGAUGGGUCUGAUCUGUUGGAUGAACAGGAGGUUGUCAAUGUUCAGAAAGAUACUUCAAAAGCCUUCCGCUCUUCUAGUAAAUCCACAGGACAAGUUUCUUCUUUUUUGGAUUUUUCUGCCACUUCCUCGAAAGGAUGGCGUAAUGUGGAACAAAUUCACAGCUAUCGGCCUAAGGUGGAUGGCAUCCCCAAGAAAGGACAAAAGUUAAAAGCUAAUAGUGACUUUUUUAGCAGAAAGUCAUUUAAGGAGUUGGGCUGUAGCGACUACAUUAUUGAAUCUUUGAGGAGCCUGCAAUAUGUGCGCCCUUCGCAUAUUCAGGCUAUGGCAUUUGCACCAGUUUUAGGUGGAAAGAGUUGUGUAAUGGCUGAUCAGAGUGGAUCUGGUAAAACUUUGGCGUAUCUAGUUCCACUUGUACAGCGUCUUAGACAAGAAGAACUUGAAGGGCUUAGCAAAUCAGCGUCACAAAGUCCUCGAGUUGUUAUUCUGGUCCCUACUGCAGAGCUGGCUUCACAGGUUUUGAGUAUUUGCCGAUCGCUCUCAAAAGUUGGUGUUCCUUUCCGCUCUAUGGUUGCUACUGGUGGCUUCCGGCAGAGAACUCAACUGGAGAAUCUUAGACAGGGUAUAGAUGUUCUAAUUGCUACUCCUGGUCGAUUCAUGUUUCUACUUAAGGAGGGAUUCCUGCAGUUAACAAACCUUAAAAGUGCCAUACUUGAUGAGGUAGAUAUACUCUACAAUGAUGAAGAUUUUGAGCUUGCAUUACAAAGUUUGGUCAACUCGGCACCUGUCACGGCUCAAUAUCUAUUUGUAACUGCCACCCUACCUGUAGACAUAUACAACAAAGUAGUUGAAGUUUUCCCUGACAGUGAGGUUAUAAUGGGUCCUGGUAUGCAUCGCACAAGCCCGAGACUGGAGGAGAUCCUCAUCGACUGCAGUGGAGACGAGGAAACAGAACGAACUCCUGAUACAGCCUUCCUCAACAAGAAAAAUGCUCUUAUGCAUCUUGUUGAAGAAAGUCCAGUGAAGAAGACAAUUGUAUUCUGUAACAAGAUUGAAACAUGCAGAAAGGUUGAAAAUGCAUUGAAACGCUUUGAUCGAAAUGAAAUCCGUAUAAAAGUCUUACCGUUCCAUGCUGCUUUAGAACAAGAAUCAAGGCUUGCAAAUAUAGAAGCAUUUCGUAACUUCCCACCAAACAACAUUUCCAUGUUCUUGGUUUGCACAGAUAGAGCAUCCCGGGGAAUUGACUUUGCGGGUGUAGAUCAUGUAGUGCUCUUUGACUUUCCCCGGGAUCCAAGUGAAUAUGUACGUCGUGUUGGAAGAACAGCCAGAGGUGCUGGAGGUAAGGGGAAAGCCUUUGUUUUUGCUGUUGGUAAGCAAGUUUCUCUUGCAAGGAGGAUCAUUGAAAGAAAUCAAAAAGGGCACCCGUUGCAUGAUGUGCCUUCUGCAUAUGAGACGCUGAGGUAGACCAGCUUUGUUGAGGUGGAAACUAACCUUGUCUUUGGGAUGACAUAACUCAAAGAAUACCACGUGGAGCAGUUAGAAAAGAGGACAAAGGGGCUUUGACGUCCAAUUAUUUUGUCUUUUCUGCUGCAGUUUUCUUUAGGAUUUAUGUGGCUAUUUUCUGUGUCAUGGCCGUUUUUGGGAGCUUCCUCAAUUAUCGUACAGUGCUGAGGAUCUGCUGAUUUCAACUCAAAGAAGACUGACUGUCUACCCUUAAAACUAACUAUGACCACGGACAUGUUAAAAUGUCCAAAUGCUGAUGCCUGGAGCGGAAGUUCGAAAAUUGUAUUUAUUUUGUGCACAAUACCCUCAAACAUAGACCUUUUGAUGUUAAAUGAUAUUUCUCUCUGUUGUUUGUAUUGGCUACAAUGACUAGAGGUGUGAGUUGAAUCGAGUCGGCUUGACUCAAGUUUGAAAUUAAGUAUUUAAAAGUUUAUGAUAUCAA